rnacentral:lncRNA from 1 species
AAACUUGUCUGGAUACAUAGCCUGUUUAAUUUCUGUUUUUGUAUUUGUAAGUUUUUUUGUUCUCUUGUAGAUCGCUAUUGCCUCCAGACAUGUGUCCUCCUCAACAUCUCAUUCUAGUAUAUUCUUUUUGCAGAUAAAGCCAAUGUAAUUGUAAACCCCAAGGGUUGAAAGGUAAUAAUUAAAAUUGUCCUUUUAAAUUUUGUAAUGUGCUGAACCAUGGCUUAGAACGAUUAAAUUGUAUAGGGCAUUAAUAUUUUGAUGUUCAAGCAUCAUUUCAUGAAUCAAGCCUUUUUCCUCUCACUUUUUUGGCUUGGUUUAAUCAUCUGUGUUUGUUUUACUAUGGUAUCUGAUAUCCACAAUUCAAAAUUAUCCAGGCUUUGUAAAAACGCAUGCAAUGAAUUGGGUGUGGUAUGAAUUUCUUUACAAAGUUGAUCUCUUAACAUUUCAAAAUCUUGUUGAUUUCACCCCCUUUUUGGUUAAUAUUUUAAUUAUCUAAUGCAUGCAAGGAAAUUGGUGUGGUUUGAAUACUGGUUCUCUUUUCUUCCUGAAUCAAGUUGCAUUCAGAAGAUGCAUCCUUUGCUGGUUUAGCAGUGUGUAAUGAUUUGAUACUGGUUUAUGUAGCCAGCUAUAUCAAGCCAUAUUAUCAAAUAUAUCGAGCUGGAUCUCUUGUGGGAUCUUUCUUUUUGCAAUUUGAUACAUACAUCUUUAAUAUUAGUUGAUAUUUAAGUGAUUGUGUACGUUAUAUUUUUCACAAUGAUUGCUGGUAAUGUGGUGUGGUGAUUUUAGUUGGUAAAAGAUAUAUCUCUGCACCUCUCAUGACCAGCGAUAUUAGUGCGUCCAAUCUUACCCUACCCAGAUGAUAUCUCUUAUUUAUCAUAUCAUCCCUGUCUAAUUUCAGCAAUGAGUUUGAUAAAUAUAUUAUUGUUUGAAAACAG